rnacentral:misc_RNA from 1 species
AACCUUAUGGACCUGCGGGCGUAUACCUGCGGAAGGAUCAUUAUCAAAAGUCGGUCGGGAGCCCUUGUGGCUGCCGUCUACACCCAAGUCUUUUGUGUACUCUUUGUUUCCUCGGCGGCGUAAGUCGCCGAAUGGACAAACCAAAACCUUUUUGUAAUUGCAAUCAGCGUCAUUAAAUAUAAUAAUAUUUACAACUUUUAACAAUGGAUCU